AACGGAGGGGGCAAGUGUUACUCAUAGUGAUUGGGCGUAAAGGGUGCGUAGACGGUUUUUUUAACUUGCAUGAAAAACCAUGGCACAACCGUGGUAAACUCGCAUCAGAUUGUAAAACUAGAGUUAAUGAGGGGAAAGUGGAAUUUUUCGGGUAGAGGUGAAAAACAACAAUCCAAAAGAGACCAUCGAAGGCGAAAGCAACUUUCUAGCAUUAACUGACGUUGAGGCACGAAGGCGUGGGGAUCAAACAGG
rnacentral:rRNA from 1 species